CCGAAAAAACCCACCGCACCACGACCUUUGCCCACCGCACGCACGCACGAACCCCCACACGACGACCUUUCCCACACCCCGCACCUCCUCCUCCCAACAACCAGAGCAUGGUCGGGCCUUCACCGCCGGCCGCCGCCCGCCCAUCCACGGCCAAGCCUCCGCCACCGCUCCACGGCCAAGCCUCCGCCGCCGUUUGCCUCCUCCACGGCCGGGCCUCUGCCGCCUUCCGUCGCCCGCCCAUCCUCGCCCUCCUCCGCUGCCGCUCCACGGCCGGGCCUCCAUCCUCCGCCGUCGCCCGCCCAUCCUCUGCCGCCGCCCGCCGUCCGCCUCCAGCCGGUCCUCUUCUCCACCGCCGCGAGCGUGAGCAGCCCCCCUCCGCCCCUGGCCGUUGCCGGUGCGCGUCGGCUCUGCCUCCCCACAACGUGCGUCCGCUACACGCUUCCCACGACACGCAAGGGGAUCUCUUUCUGCAACGAAUCCCUCACCAAUUUGAGCGUCGAGGACAGGCAUAUCCUUUCCCGUAAGCAAUCAUCAUUAAUAAGGAGAAAAUAUUUAUGUUCAGUUUUGUGCUUGCUAAUUCACCCCAAACGUCCGGUCUUGCUAUUUUUGUUAUAUAUAUGUUCAGUUAUGUGCUUGAUAAUUUACUCCACACGUCCGACCUUGCUAAAAAAAUUAGAGGCACAUAUCUUGCUAUUAUCUAUACCUACUUCGUAUCACCUGAAGAAGCUACGUUGAUUGCCCAUGUUUUCUUUGCUAUACUACUUCUUCUUAGCUAAUGUCGUUCAAGACUAGAGCAUGUUUAUCUGAACUAAGAAAGAAUGCUAACUUAUUUGGCUGAACUACAUCCCUCCUCUCCGUGAUGGCUGCUAUCUCCUUUUUGUUUUGGGAAAGGACCUCAGAUCAAUUAAACGUCUAGCCAGAGAUACAAGGCAUCCCAUAUAGUGUGAAUGAUUUACUCAAGUUCUAAGCUAUCCAAGGCGUUGGAUUUUUCCUGGACAUGGUUCAGAACGAAGACUGUACUGACAUAUAGUAAUUGAAAAGUUUACAUCACAGAAUGAUAUAAGUAAGAAAUGAUACUCAAUGUAUUGGAACACUGAUGUUGGUUUUAGAUAUGGAGUAAAGUUUCCCAGGGAAGAAUCACUUUUCUGAACCAUGCACAUUUUCUCACAUUAUGCCAGUUAGAAGGAAGAGAGUUAAGAACAUUAACACGUAUCUUUGGUGAAUAUCGUUAUACUAUGUCCAAUGAUAUACCAUGUAUACAUAUGUAAAAGGUUAAAAGUGACAAAUAUCUACCAAAAGAAACCAUGCCUAGGAGCUAGAUAGAUUCUAGCCAAAUAUAUUUUGAAGAAGGGAGUUGGAACCUUGCAGUUGAUUUUCUACAUCAAAUUUGGUAGCCUGGAGAUGCAGAAGGAGUAGGCACAAGGAGGCGGACGGGGUAGUAAAUUUACUAUGUGUUAGUUGUUACACUGAAAGAAAGCAUUAGAAAGUUAUAUAAAGAUAACAAGGAAUGGGUAUAUUAUUUGUAGUAAACAAAUCUAGACACAUCAGUUGUAAAUGUUCAGGUUUGUGAAGUUUGUGAAGACGAUGUUCGUGGAGAAUCGAUGUUGAAAUUUGUUUGCAAUAUCAUUUACUUUCCAUACUUGUUUAUUGGCCUAGCAAAUUCAUAUGUACGGCUUGCAUUGCCAAUCAUGGUACUAUUUUUCGUGUUUAUGUAUGGCAUUUUCCCCAAAGAUUCACAUAUGCUGUCAGCUGAGUUGGGGGCAAGCCUGGAAAUCACUUGGAAGUUAGAGGAGGUGUGGUGUGUAUUCAUGCAGUUCUGCUCAAAAAAACUUUAUUCUAUCACUAUAUUAUAACCCUGCAAAUUAAUUUUUGUUUUUCAUUAAUGCAUCUACAACAGUUUACCAGUGAGUAUAGAACUUAUUUAUCUUUGAUCUGAUAUAAGAGGUACUAUAAUUCUUGUCGUGACAAAACUCAAAUUUAGAUUACUUUUAGGCAACUGAAGUUGGGGUUUAGACUAUAUGCUUCAUGCAUAUAUGACAAAAUUGGACAUGAUAUAGAAUUAUAGACUGUAUUACUCAUCUCCUUUGAACAUAUAUCAUUUUCAAUUUCUCUGUUUUUUUCUUGUUCUGUAGCCAACAUUGGUAAUGAAAUGACACAAUAUAGAGCAUGCGAUGUGUCGAUGGCAUGUAACAUUUUUCUUAUUUGUCACCUAAUUUGCAGUUUCUUUUAUAUCCAUUUAUAACUUUUUAAAUAUUCAAAAUGUGCUUACUGGAAUUAGUUGUUUCCUGUCAAAGUUGAGGGCUUUAAACAGUGGACUGUAAUGUGAGUACUGUAGAUUAGAAUGUGCUUACUUGUUUCAUCUGUUUUUUUACCACUGCAAGUGAAUAUGGCCUACGUACAUAGGUGAAAGCUUUAUCAAUUAAUAGGAAGUUUGUGAUUGGAUGGAUGCUCCCAACAACCAGUUCUUCCAAUGACAUCCCCGUGGCUCCGCGACACUCUUUCAGGUUUGCCUCUUCUUACUUAUCUAGCCACUGCCCAGUGGGUGUUAUUAUUGUUGUUAGUCCAUGACUGAUAGAAUCUGGAGGUUGUUAAUGCAGUUACUCAAUGGACUAAUAUGACCUUUGCACCGAACCAUUUCUUCUAAAAAUUAUUCACCUUACGUCCUUACCUUUGUUCUACCGUACUACUUUUAAUUUUUAUCAGCAUGCUCCAGUGCCUAUAAAUUAUUGCUAUCGUAGCUUGUGCCAACAUGAAUGUGUGAAAUUUCUAAUGUAUACAGAUUUUGCUAAUGGUCAUAGCUCCAAAUUUCAUCUUGGUAAAUUCAUGUGCUUAACUUUUCUUUUAGACAUGGCUGCUAUAUCUGUCUGUUUCAAGCAUCAGCGGCAUCCAUGGGCUUGACAACAAUCUGAAGCGAGUAAUUGGUGCUGCCCUUGGUAUUGGAGAAAACAUGAGGAUAAAUAGUCAAUGACGGUUGCUGAACGACUUCGUUAGAGUUUAGCGUAAGCGUUCAUGGGGGCCAGAGAAACGGGAUUUGGGACAUCUGAAUAAUACUUUUAGUGAUAUGUAACAUUUUUUUUAAUAUGUUUCCUUGUAACUAGACAUACUUGUGCUUUCACUUCGAAACUUGAUUAGGCAAUUUGAGUUAGUGGUGUGCUUUAAUAAUGCA